CCAACACUGCCAUCGCUCUGUCGGCAAAUAUGGCGCCCGCUAGCAGUUGUUGUGCUGUCGUGUGCUUUUGUAACUAAAACUCCGUUUUGACAUCACUUUCAUCAUAAUCUGAA